UUACGGCCACAUCACAUUGAAACAUCAGUUCCUAUAAAAAUCACCAAAAUUAAGCAAUAUUGAGCCUGGUCAGUACCUAGAUGGGUGACUGCUUGGGAAUACCAGGUGCUGUAA